rnacentral:tRNA from 1 species
GCGGGUGUAGUUCAAUGAUAGAACAUCAGCUUCCCAAGCUGAGAACGCGGGUUCGAUUCUCGUCACCCGCUCCA